GACGAACGCUGGCGGCGUGCUUAACACAUGCAAGUCGAACGAUGAAGCCGGAGCUUGCUCCGGUGGAUUAGUGGCGAACGGGUGAGUAACACGUGAGCAAUCUGCCCUUGACUCUGGGAUAACUGCGGGAAACUGUAGCUAAUACCGGAUACGACACCUUGGGGCAUCCCAGGGUGUGGAAAGAAUUUCGGACAAGGAUGAGCUCGCGGCCUAUCAGCUAGUUGGUGAGGUAAUGGCUCACCAAGGCGACGACGGGUAGCCGGCCUGAGAGGGUGACCGGCCACCCUGGAACUGAGAGAUGGUCCAGAUUCCUACGGGAGGAAGCAGUGGGGAAUAUUGCACAAUGGGCGAAAGGCUGAUGCAGCAACGCCGCGUGAGGGAUGAAGGCCUUCGGGUUGUAAACAUCUUUUAGCAGGGAAGAAGCGAAAGUGACGGUACCUGCAGAAAAAGCACCGGCUAACUACGUGCCAGCCGCCGCGGUAA
rnacentral:rRNA from 1 species